rnacentral:rRNA from 1 species
AGAAUUUUUCACAAUGGGGGAAACCCUGAUGGAGCGACGCCGCGUGGAGGAUGAAGGCCCUCGGGUCGUAAACUCCUGUCAUGCGGGAACAAGAAAGUGAUAGUACCGCAAGAGGAAGAGACGGCUAACCCUGUGCCAGCAGCCGCGGUAAUACAGAGGUCUCAAGCGUUGUUCGGAUUCAUUGGGCGUGAAGGGUGCGUAGGUGGCGAUGUAAGUCUGGUGUGAAAUCUCGGGGCUCAACCCCGAAAUUGCAUCGGAUACUGCGUUGCUUGAGGAUUGUAGAGGAGAGUGGAAUUCAUGGUGUAGCAGUGAAAUGCGUAGAUAUCAUGAGGAAGACCAGUUGCGAAGGCGACUCUCUGGGCAACUCCUGACACUGAGGCACGAAGGCUAGGGUAGCGAAC